rnacentral:rRNA from 1 species
UACGUAGGGCGCAAGCGUUGUCCGGAAUUAUUGGGCGUAAAGAGCUCGUAGGCGGCUUGUCACGUCGAUUGUGAAAGCUCGAGGCUUAACCUCGGGUCUGCAGUCGAUACGGGCUAGCUAGAGUGUGGUAGGGGAGAUCGGAAUUCCUGGUGUAGCGGUGAAAUGCGCAGAUAUCAGGAGGAACACCGGUGGCGAAGGCGGAUCUCUGGGCCAUUACUGACGCUGAGGAGCGAAAGCGUGGGGAGCGAACAGG